rnacentral:rRNA from 1 species
CCAGACUCCUACGGGAGGCAGCAGUGGGGGAUAUUGCACAAUGGGGGGAACCCUGAUGCAGCGACGCCGCGUGGGUGAAGGAGCGUUUCGGCGCGUAAAGCCCUAUCGGCAGGGAAGAAGAUGACGGUACCUGACCAAGAAGCCCCGGCUGACUACGUGCCAGCAGCCGCGGUAAUACGUAGGGGGCAAGCGUUAUCCGGAUUUACUGGGCGUAAAGGGAGCGCAGGCGGCGCGCCAAGUCUGAUGUGAAACCCCGGGGCUCAACCCCGGGCAUGCAUUGGAAACUGGCGGGCUGGAGUGCCGGAGAGGUAAGCGGAAUUCCUAGUGUAGCGGUGAAAUGCGUAGAUAUUAGGAGGAACACCAGUGGCGAAGGCGAUUUGCUGGGCCAUCACUGACGCUGAGGUACGAAAGCGUGGGGAGCAAAUAGGAUUAGAUACCCGGGUA